UGCCCAGAAGCUGCUUAGUGUAGAGGAGGA
rnacentral:piRNA from 1 species